UCAGUGGUAGUAAAAGCAAAUAAAUGGCAAGAGGCAAAAAAGGUUGAGGGUGUUUUGAAAAAGAGGUGCUUUGGCUUUAUACCAACGAACAAGGAACCUACAAAUGCACACUUAUCAAGAGGCCCAACAAGUGGUUCUUCCCUGCGGUGAAGGGCGAGGUGCCACACUGGGGUGCGUGACGUAUGAAUUUGAUGUGGAUGGCACGCGCAUUUUGGUGUUUGUUGGCAUGGUCGGGAAACGAGAAACAAAAAGAAUAAGAAUGUGAGGUUCUAGUGGUGAAGACUCAAGACGAAUUAUGUUUUUGAGCUUUGGAAAACUCUGCAUUUUGACGGCAGCAUGUUAUUUCUCUGCAUCGUGGGGGCCAAAUGAAGCAAUUUUAUGUUCGUUUAGUAGAUCAGGGGGCCUGGCACAAAGUUCGGUUAUGGCUGCGAGAUAAGACGCACGCAAAAGUGGUUUUCCAGCCUCUACCUGCUUCGGUGCGGAAAAUGAGCCUCGGUGGAAAUGGGCGCCGGCGGAAUAAUAUCUCGGCAUUUCCAUCACGCCGCCCAAACUUUGUAAUCUCGACUCGCGCGCGCUAUCUGAUUGACUGACUGACUGACAUUGUGUGGCCCUAGCACACGUCGAUAAUGCAAAUGGAAUGGUCUCGGCUCCGAGCUGCACCGCAGGACGAGAGAGACAUUUGCAGUCCUCGUCUUGAGCAUGAUGACACACAUCACAAUACACGUGAAGAAGAAAAAAGAACUUGAUCGUGCAGAAAUCGUGCAAAGUGCUUUUUACACGAGCUGAGUAAAAUAAUAAUGGUGCCCUCGUCGUCAACUUUUUUACUGCCCCGCCGCGUGUUUCCCUCUCGCUUGGUCUUUUUAUUUCCCAUAAUCAGUCAAUUGCCUCGAUUUAGAAACUAUAUUCGGUCAGCAGACGGUCACGCGCGCCACGAUAUAUUCAGUGUUGAGAAGUUGCUUUAUAUUAUUUCGCAUCUUAUUGAAUUGCAGUUUUUAUUUCCUUUUACAACUUUAUACUUCGAUUUUCUUUAUUGCGUAAUAAUUUUCCAGCUGGUAUUGAAUUUUUAUUAUAUCCAGAGGAAAAUCAAUUGCAUAUUGUUUUGGUAUAUCAUGGAAAAAGAUAUUUACUUAAAGUGGCAGUAAAAAAAUGUCUAAAAAUUUUAG